AUUGAACGCUGGCGGCAGGCCUAACACAUGCAAGUCGAACGAGUGGCGGACGGGUGAGUAAUGUCUGGGAAACUGCCUGAUGGAGGGGGAUAACUACUGGAAACGGUAGCUAAUACAGCAUACCAUCGGAUGUGCCCAGAUGGGAUUAGCUAGUAGGUGGGGUAAAGGCUGCUCGAGGCGACGAUCCCUAGCUGGUCUGGGAGGAUUACCAGCCACAAUGGAACUGAGACACUGUCCAGACUCCGACGGGAGGCAGCAGUGGGGAAGAUUGCACAAUGGGCGCAAGCCUGAUGCAGCCAUGCCGCGGGUAUGAAGAAGGCCUGCGGGUUGUAAAGUACUUUCAGCGGGGAGGCGUUACCCGCAGAAGAAGCACCGGCUAACUCCGUGCCAGCAGCCGCGGUAAUAC
rnacentral:rRNA from 1 species